CAAUGCCAGGCUGAUUCUCAAUCAAUUAGAUCUAUUCCAGCCACAGGCCACUGAGGCUAUCUUACUAUCGUCCAGCCUGAGCCAAACUCCUACUUACCUGCACCUCUGGCCCACAGUGUCUGUUCCUCCUGUUCACUAAAUUGCCACUCUGGAUGCUCCCUUCCUGAGGGUGAACCCUCAGGCCCCUAGGGUAGUUUAGUGGUUCGCAAUAGAUUCUGUUUCUGGAAGGCGCCCAGUUGCGACCCUUCAAGUAAGUUAUGCUGUGUGGCAAAAUGAGAUUUGUCUCCUGUGUGCUCCAUCUUCUGAGGGAAUCCCUCUUUAGCUGCAACUUACAACUGAAUUUCAGGCCAAUGAGGGCCGCGUGCUUGUCCAGAAAGCAGCAUUGCUUAGCGACUAUCUGGCUUACAUUUUGGGAACAGGUUUUGAGUCCCUCACUCCCACUACCAGGGAAUGCAUGGUGGGUGGGGGCUGGGUUUGGCUGCUUCUCUGUGUUGCUGUUUGUUCUCCUGGCUUUGUUUUACUUCUUUCAUGAAUUUCUGAAACUUUUCUCAGUUUCCUCUUUCGCAAACAUUUUCUUCUUUCUUUUCUUCCUCUCUUUUUAUUCUGACUCUCUUCUUCAUGGACUCUCAUGGAGGCACUUCUAAUACACUACUUUUUUUUUUAUUGAAAUAAUUUUUCACACAAUAUGCUCUAAUCGGUUUCCCCUUCUUUGUCUUCUCUGCAGCUCCCUACCUCCCCACCCAUCCAACUCCAUGCCUUUGAAAAGACAAGAAUAAAAAUGAACAAACUGACUGAGAGAAACAAAGAAUUUGAGACAGACAGACAGACAGACAGACAGACAGGCACACACACACACACACACACACACACACACACACACACACACACACACACACACACACCAUAAAAACAUACCAAAAAGAAACCAUGACAUACAAAUUAAAGACUGAUAAGGUAAAAAUUGACCAAAGUAGUAUGAGACAAUCUCCUUUGAGUUCCUUUUGUGUUGGCCAUCUUCUACUGGGCAUGGAACCUGGCCCUAAGUGUGGUUGGUACACCCAAGUGAGACUUCCUCCAAGAAACAAAGCUUCCCUUUGUGAGUAGCUGUUAAUUGGGGAUAGCUUCCCGGUUGGGGAUGCGAGCUCAUGUCUUCCCCAUCUCAGCACAAGAGCCUGUCUGGAAUGGAUCUACUCAGGCCCCGUGCAUGCUGACACAGUCGCUGUGAGUUCACAUGUACGUCAGUCCGGCUGUGUCUGCUAGACACUGUUUUCUUGUGUCAUCUCUCCUCCCUGCAUAGUUCCCUGAGCCCUGAAGGGAGGGGUUCGAUGAAGACAUCCUGUUUAGAGCUGAGUGUUCUAAGGUCUCUCACCCUCUACACACUGUCGUCUUGUGGGUCUCUGUAUUUUUUCUUAUCUUCUGCAGGAGAAAGCUUCUCUGAUGAAGGUAGAGGGAGGCACUGAUCUAUGACUGUGGAAAAAUGCCCUUAGGAAUAAUUUUAUUAUGUGCCUUUACCACAACAAUAGUGUUUGGUUUUCCCCUAAGUCCAUGGCCUAUUUAUUCAUAUUCUUGGCCACAUGAACUGUGUCAGGCAUGGGCUCCAUGUAAUGGAGUGGGCCUUAAACCCAAUCAGAUAGUUGUUAGUUACUGCCCCAAUGUUUGUGUUACUGCUGGGUCAGCGUAUCUUGCAAGCAGGUCAUCGCUGCAGUUCUAAGGGUUUGUAGUCAUGUUGGUAUUUGUCUUUCUCCUCUGGUAGUGUGCGGUGUACCUUCCAAAACCACGAACUAGUCAGGAGGGAAGAAAGCACUAGUCAGGAGGGAAGAAAGCACUAGUCAGGAAGGAAGAGAGCACUAGUUAGGCGCCAGUUCAACUGCUCAAUGUUCAAUGUGUUGUCUUCAGUAAUGGGGGCGUUUUAGUCAGGGGUUGUAGGAAAAUGGAUGGAGCAAGAACAGAACUUGGAGGAGGUUUAUUAGAAUGGCUUACAGGCUGUGGUCUGACUAGUCUAACAGUAGCUGUAUAACAACAGAAGGUCCGGAUAUCCAGUAGUCAUUCAGUCCAUAAGGCUGGAUGUCUCAUCUGGUGUUCAGUACACACCAGAAUUCCAAAGAAGUAGGCUCUCAUCCCAGUGAAGAAAUAGACUUGCCAGAGAGGCGGGGAAGGGCAAAGAGAGCAGUCUUCCUUUUUUCUAUGUCAUUUAUAUAGGUUGCCACCAGAUGAUGUGGCCCAGAUUAAAGGUGGAUUUUCCACUUCAAAAGAUCUGGUCUUCCCAGUUUGAAGGAUUUAACUAAGAAAAAAUCCCUCACAGAGGUACCCAGCCACUUGAUUUUUAGUUCAUUCCAGAUGUAGUCAAGUUGACAACCAAGAAUACGCAUCAUAAUGGCCUUACCACUAACUUGUGCAAAGCAACCAAUACCCCUGGCAACAGGGUAUUGAGGGUUUCCAUGGGGCCUCUUUGGCCAACAACUCAAUUGGAUGUAACCUAUUCCUGGUGCUCAAGGUUUCGCUUGGUAGCUAGAUUUCUAGCUGGGGCAUAGUUACCCCCAUUAUUUGGUGAUAUCAUUUAUAUUUAAAAUAUGUGUAUAUAUUUUAAGAAGUUUUUACUGUAGUAGGUUUCCAUAUGACCACUCAAAUAGCCCUUAGUGUUAGCUGUCCCUCCCCAAACUCCCUCCAUUUCCCCCUCUUUCCUUCCCUUCCUAUUUAAUCCUCUUGUUCCAGGCUUCCUCCACUGUCUCUCCAUAAUUAUACAUUAUAUUUCAUUUUCCCUGGGAUAUCCUCCUCUCUCCCUACCCUUUUACGCUAUCCCUACUCUGUGGUUAUUCAGAUAGCAUGCUUAGCAAAGGCUUAAAAGCUGACGUCCACAUAGAAGAGAAUACAUACCAUGUUUGACUCUAGGGUCUGGGUUCCUUCACUCAGGAUGAUCUUUUUUUCUAGAUCUAUCCAUUUUCCUGCAAAUUUCAUUUUUUUUAAAAAUAGCCAUGUGCUAGUCUAUUGUAUAAAUGUACCACACUGAUGGACAUUUAGGCUGUUUCUGGUUUCUGGCUAGUAAAAGUAGAGUAGCAAAGAACAUAGGUGAGUUAAGUGUCAUCUGUGGUAGGAUGUGGAGUCCCUUGGGUUUAUCCGCAAGAGUGAUGUAGCUGGAUCCUGAGGUAGAACCUAUUCCCAGCUUCAGGAGGGACUAACACACUGAUUUCCAUAGUGACUGUACAAGUUUUCAUUCCAACUAGCAAUGGAUGAGUGCUCCCUUACCAAUCCUGGCCAUCAUGAGCUGUCAUUUGUUUUAUUGAUCUUGACCAUGCUGACUGUUGUAAGAUGAAAUACCAAAGUAGUUUUAAUUUACAUUGAUGUUCAGUAUUUUAUUAUAUAUUUUAAAUAUAUUAGAAGUGUAAUUACUAAAAAUCUGUGGCCUGGCACUUUGUUUCAAUGGUGAUGCCUUCUGCUAUACAGAAACCUUUCAGUUUCAUGAGGUCCUGUUUGGUAUUUAAUUAUUGAUCUUAGUGUCUGUGCUAUUGGUGUCCUGUUCAGAAAGUCUUUUCCUAUGCCAUUCUCUGCUUUCUCUUAUAUCAGGCUCAGGCUAUCUGGGUUUUUGUUGAGGUCCCUUUGGAGUUGGGUUUUGUGCAGGGUGAUACAUAUUGAUAUAUUUGGAUUCUUCUACAUGCAUCCAUCCACUUUGAUCAGCACCAUUUCUUAAAGGUGCUCCUCCACUCACAGUGGUUAUUUACUUCUGUUUUCUUUGUCAAAAAGCAGGAAUCAGUAGGUGUGUGGAGCCAUGUCUGAGGCAUAAAUUUAAUUUCAUUGAUUAACGUGCCUGUUUUUAUGCCAAUGCCAUGCUGUUUUUAUCACUGUAGCUCUACAGUAUAAUUUGAGGUUUAAGGGUAGUCAUACUUCCGGCAUUAUUAUUAUUCAGGAUUGCUUUAGCUAUCGUGUGUGUGUGUGUGUGUGUGUGUGUGUGUGUGUGCAUGUGUGUAUGUGUGUGUGCGUGUGUAUGUGUGUGUAUGUGCAUGUGUGUAUAUGUGUAUGUGUGUAUGUGUAUGUGUGUGCCCGUGCGUGUGUGUGUGUGUGUGUGUGUGUGUGUGUGUGUGUUUCCACAUGAAACAAGAAUUGUCCUUUCAGUUUCUGUGAAGAACUGUAUUAGGAUUUUGAUGGUCGUUGUAUUGAAUCUGUAGAUUGCUUUUGGUAGUUUGGCUGUUUUCACUAUGCUGAUCCUACUGAUCCAUGAGCCUGGAAAAUCUUCCCAUCUUUUGGUGUCUUCUUCUUCAGUUUGUUUUUUCAAUGCCUUGCACCUUUUAUUAUACAAGUCUUUCACUUGUUCAUUAGAGUCAUUCCAAGAUACCUUUCCUUUGAGGUGAUUGUGACAAGUAUUAAUUUCUUCCACAGUCUGUUUGCUGUUGGCGUAUACGAAGGCUACGGGUUUUUGUGUCCACCUACUUUUCUGGAAGUGUUUAUCAGCUGUAGAAGUUUCUUGGUGGAGGCUUUAGGGUCAUUUACAUAUACAAUCAUAUUAUCUACAAAUUAAGAUGCUCCGAUCUCUUUCUUUCCAAAUUUGUGUUCCCUUGAUUUCCUUCGGGUGUCUUAUUGCUUUAGUUAAGACUUUGGGUAUUAUAUUGAAAAGCUAAGGAGGGAGUGGAAAGCCUUGUCUUAGUCCUGAUUUUAAUGAAAAUGCUUUGAAUUUUUCUCCACUUAGGCUGAUGUUGGCCAUAGUUUGAUAUAAACUGCCUUUAUUUUAUUGAAUUAUGUCCUUAUGUUCCCUAAUCUCUCUGGAACUUUUAUCAUGAAGGGAUGUUGGAUUUUGUCAAAGGUCCUUUCUGCAUCUAAUGAGAUGAUCAUGUGUUUUUUUGUCUUUCACUUUGUUUAUACAGUGAAUUACAUUUAUUGAGUUUUGUAUUUUGAACCACCUCUGGGCCUACUUGGUCAUGGUGGAUGUCCUUUUUGAUGUGUUCUUGGAUUUGUUUGUGAGCAUUUUGUUGAGAAUUUUUGUAGCCUUGUUCAUAAGGGAUGUUGGUCUGAAAUCCUCUCUCUCUCUCUCUCUCUCUCUCUCUCUCUCUCUCUCCAUUGAGUCUUUGUAUGGUUUAGUUAUCAUGGAAAUUGUGGCCUUGUAAAAAAGAAUUAGGCAAUAUUCCUUCAGUUUCCGUUUUGCAGAAUCAUUUUAGAAGUAUUGGCGUUAAUUCUUCGAAACUCUGGCAGAAUUCUUUUCUGAAUCUACCUUGCCCUAGGCUAUUUUGGUUGAGGAGGUUGGCUUUUAAUUUAACUGAUCUUAAUUUAGCUAUGAUAGGUGAUAUAUAUCAAGGACUUCAUCCUUUUCUUUCCAGUUUACUGGCGUAAAUACAGGCUUUUAAAAGUAUGUUCUUACUGUUAUUUUAAUUUCCUCAAUGUGUUGGAAUGAUCCCUGUUUCAUCUCUAAUUUCAUUAGUCUGUAUCGUCUCUCUCCAUCUUUUAGUUAAUUUGGUUAAGGGUUUAUCAAUCUUACUGAUUUUCUCAAAGAACCAACUCUUUGUUUCAUUGAUUCUUUGUAGUUUUGUUUUUGUUUUGUUUGUUCUGUUGUUUGUUCCUAUUUUAUCAACUUCAGCUCUGAGUUCGAUUAGCUCUCUACUAUUUUGGGGUAUUAUUUCUUCUUUUCAUUAGGGCCUUCAGGUGUGCCAAUGAGUUACUAAUAUGAAAUCUCUCCGUGUUUUAAAUAUAGGCAUGUAGUGUUAUGAACUUGCUUCUUAGAACCAUUUUCAUUGUGUCCUAUAAGUUUCAGUAUGCUGUGUUUUGAUUUUUGUUCAGUUCUAAUUUUUUAAAAUUUUAUUCUUCACUUCUGUCCUGACAUGACUUGUUCAGUUUCCCUGAGUUUGCAUCCUUUCUGUUGUUGAUAUCCAGUUUUAAUCCAUGAUAGUCAGGUAGGAUGCAGGUGUUAUUUCAAUUUCAUUGUAUGUGUUGUCACUUGCUUUGUGUCCAAAUAUGUGGUAAAUUUUGGAGAAAGUUGAACUGCUGAGAAAACAGUAUACUCCUUUGUGUUUGGGUGAAAUGUUCUAUAAAUAACUCUUAGGUCCAUUUGGUUCAUAACGUCAGUUAGCUCCAGCAUUUCUGUUUAGCUUUGUCUGGUGAGAGUGGAGUAAUGAAUUCCCCCACUCUUAGUGCGCAAGGGUCACUUUGUAAUUUAAGCUCUAGUAGUAUUUCUUUUAUGAACCUGGUUGUCUUUUUGUUUGGUGAAUAGACAUUAAGAAUCUCAAUGUUCCUCUUGGAGGAUUUUUUUUUCUUUGAUGAGUAUGUAGUGUCCUUCCUUAUCUCUUCUGUUUAUAUUUGGUAUGAAUUCUGUUUUGUCAGGUAUUAAAGUGGCUACACUGGCUUUCUUUUUUAGGUCUAUUUUGUUGGGAUCCCUUUUCCCAUUCUUUUAGCCUGAGGUGAUGUCUAUCCUUGAUGUAAGGUGUAUUUCUUAGAUACAUCACAAGGAUGGAUCCUGCUUUCUAAUCCAAUCCAUUAGUUUGUGUCUUUUGGGGAUGGGAAUUGAGAUCAUUACUAUUGAAAGUGCUCAUGGAACAAUGUUUAUUGAUUUCUGUUAUUUUGUAUUACAGUAUGAGGUUUUUCUUCCUCUUGAUUUGCAGGUCUAGGAUUAUUUAUUCCUUGGUUUCUUGGGUGUAGGUAACCUCUUUAGACUGAAAUUUUAAUUCUAGUGCCUUGUGUAGUGUGUGAUUGGUAUAGAUACUGCUUAAGUUUGAUUUUAUUGUGGUAUCUUUUUCUUUCUUCGUCUACCAUGAAUGAUAGUUUUGCUGGGUAUAGUAGUCUGGGUUGGCAUCUGUGGUUUCUCAGAAUUUGUAGAACUCUGAGUCUCCAUUGCGAAGUAAGGUAUUAUUCAAAUGGGUCUGGGUCUGUCCCCCCCUCCGCCCAUGUUGAAGGAUACUUCUCCUUCCUCUAUUCCUAUUAUAUUCCUAAUUAUAUCCCUAUAUUUUAUUCUUAAUCUAUUCAUCGAUUUGAUCUUUUCAUAGUGUCUUAGGUUUCCUGGAUGCCUUGUGUCAGGAUUAUUUUUAACAUUUUCUUUUCUUUUUUUCGGAGCUGGGGACUGAACCCAGGGCCUUGCGCUUUCUAGGCAAGCGCUCUACCACUGAGCUAAAUCCCCAACCCCAUUUUUAACAUUUUCUUUGAGUGAGCUACACAUUUCAUGAAUCUUGCCUUUGACACCUGAGAUUCCCUCUUUCAUCUCUUGUGUUCUGUUGGUGGUGCUUGCCUGCUUGAGCUUGUAAAUUUCUCAUUUCCAGUUUUCUUUCAACUUUGGUUAUUUUUAGUGGUUUUAUUCUACUUUCAUUCCCUGAACUGUUUUUAUUACUUAAUUCCAUUGUUUGUUUCUCACAGGCUUCAUUAAGAUAUUUAUUCAUACCUUUUGAAGAGCUUCGAACAUAUUCAUAAUUGCUAUUAUGAAGCUCUUGCUUCAUGCUGCAGCUAUGGUGCAUUUCUCAGGGCCUACUGUGGUAGGGUUCCUGAAUUAAGAUGGGAGCAUAUCAUCUUGCCUAUUAAUUAUUGUGUUUUUGUGCCAGCGUCUAGGCAUGUAAAUUUAUGAUGCUUGGGUCUGGGUCUGCCUUUGUAUGUCACUUGUCUCCCCCGACCCCUGCAUUGAAGGUUACUUCUCCUUUCUCUAUUCCCAUUAUUCAUAGAUCUGAUCUCUGAUUCUAAUUGUUGAUAUCUGGACAAGAUUUUUGGGUGUGUUCUGUUCCUUAGUUUCUUUUGACCUUUCUGGAUCGCAGGGACGUGUAGUAGCUAUGGGUUGCCUAGUAGAGAUCGUUUCUGCAGGUCUGUGCAUGGCAUAGCUGUGUGAUUCUCUCUGCUGCGACUACCUCAUAAGCUCCAUCAAGGAAGGCUACUUGCUGCUUGCUACACAAAGGUGCAUAAUUUGUGUUCCCUGAACUCAUUUAUCCUUGAGAACAUGCUGUUUAUUUAAACACAUUAUAUCUUGGCAAAAAAAUGUAGAAACGUCAAGGGUGGGAUUUUUAAUUUUUUCAUUAUGUUGACUAAGGUUAUACUACAAUAGUAAUAAUCUAACGACCAUCAGUAACACAGGUGCUUCUUUAUUUAUGGUGCGUUAUGUUCAGAUAAACCAUCAUCACUUAUGACUAUGCUAAGCCAAGAGGGCAUUUACUAUAUCCAACCUACCAAGCACUACAGCUUAGUAACGCUCAGCACUGUGGUGUCAGUGACUCCCCUCUGCCUUACUGGUUAGUGAUGGCUGCCUAGCAUUAUGACGUAAGAUCCUAUUCACUUCUCAGCCUUUUGGUCCAAAUCAAGUGCAGAAAUGCCAAUUAUGUGUCAUUAACUAUGGGAAAUGGUCACAGUGUAAAUGUGUGUGUGUGUUUGUGUGUGUGUGUAUGUGUGUGUGUGUGUGUGUUUGCGAUACAGGUGUACAGGUCAGAGGUCAAACUCAAAUGUCAUCCUUCAGGUGCUGUUCACCUUGUUUUUGAAGAGAGGGUUGCUCCCCGACCCUUGCCCAUCAGGGAUCUUUAGGUUUCUACCAGUGCCUCCAUUCCAAGCAUGUGUCACCACAUCUGGCUUGUUCUGCUAAGGAUCAGAAUCAGGUCCUUGUGCUUGCACAGGAAACGCUCUGCUUACUGAGCCAUCUCCGCAGACCAUGAGUAUGUUUUUCUUCUUUCUUUUCUCAAUGAUUUACUUACUUUUCUUCUACGUGCACGCUGUUUUGCCUUCAUGUAUGUCUGCGUGAGGGUGUCAGAUCCCUUGGAUCUGGAUUGCAGAUAGUUGUGAACUGACUCGUGGGUGCUGGAAAUCGAACUCCUGUCCUCUGGAAGAACAGCUCUCCAGCUCCACCUCUGAGUACUUUCUAAUAAAACACUUCCUUCAAGUAUCUUUCCAAUUGUGAUUACAUCCUAACUUUGAAAGUUAUUUCAGAGAAACCAGAGUCUUUCCUACAGUCUAGUUUGGACCUUCAUCUAUAAUAUGUUACAUUUCUUGAUUCUUCAAAUGUCAUCAUCUGCUGUAGGGUCUUUGAUGGUGACCAGAAUGCCAUCUGAAUUUUAGUGCACAGAGUUUUAAGUUGUUAAGAAAUGGUGACAUUUCAGAAGUAUCGUAGAGGGACCCAGAAGUGACUGUUGUCAGGGCUGCAUAGAAAACUGAACUUGUUGCAAGGCUCCCAUUCCUGAACUUUGCGAGUGUAGCACAGUCUGCUGCCCAAUGUAGAUUGUAUUUGUAGCAGCAGAAACACCCCAAAUCCUUUCCUAUAGCACAGAACUGGCUUGAGUCAACUGUUUGUUUCAGCUUUCUCGGUUGCAUACUGUUUUACAAUGUGGGCAUUUGAAGUGAGUUGGCACAUGGCACUCAAUAUCGUUAUUUUAGAGAUGGCCUGUGUCCACAGUGAAGUCUUACCGAGGAAGGUUGGCUCUACCAAUGCUCACAUAACACAGAGGAGAAGGUUGGCUCUACCAAUGCUCACAUAACACAGAGGAGAAGGUUGGCUCUACCAAUGAUCACAUAACACAGAGGAGAAGGUUGGCUCUACCAAUGCUCACAUAACACAGAGGAUGGCAUUUACCCUCAGGAGAAUCAGGUGCUCUGCCUUGGAGUUUUAAACAUUUAAAAACACUUGAUUAUACACAGUGAAAAUCCAGUUGGAGCAGCCACCCAUCAGCCAAGGCAUUGAGAUGAAAUCAACAAUGAAGUCCUAAAAAUCCUUUUGACUGAGAUUCUGGUCAUUAAAGCACACACUUCCUCCCAAAAGCUUCCCCAAGGGUCUGAACGUUGUAGUCCGGUGUCUCCUCAGUGACUCUGACUCAGAGCAAACGGAGUGAGUGGUCUAGUAGAGAGAGUCUCCGUGUGUGUCUGUCCUGGGUCUGUGAGCUCUGCUGCCUCCUCCCUCGUCAGACUGUGGAGAGACACCACACUUUUUGAGGUCUUUAAGUUUACUCUGUCUGAGGUCGUCAGGAACGUUGUAUUCAACCAUCUUUGCUCUGACUGGAUCCAACAGUGCGGAUCAGACUACCUGCUUCCUUACUGCAGCCGUCUUCUCUUCAUGGCCUUCCUGAAGCAGCUCUCAGGUCCCUUGACUGGCAUCUCAGGUGUUUCUGAAACCAUUACAACAGCUACUUGGAGGAACCAGACAAUUAGGCUCCUGGCCCAGGUGCAGACUCAAGGGUUUAACUCUUCAAGGUCUUGGGUAUGCGUGGGUUGUCCCUUUAUGUCAGCUCGAAGUGUACGCAGUCCAGAGAAAACUAGGUGUGCUUUGAAUGCAGACUGACACCAUAGGCUUGUGUGUUUGAGUGCUUUCUCCCCAGUUGAUGGUGCUGUUUGGGAAGGUUGUAGAACCAUUAGGAGGAAGUGGGUCACUAGAGGAGGCCUUAAGGACUUAUAGCCCAGUCCCAUUUCCUGUUUGUCCUCUGGUGUCAGACAACCUUCUCAUGCAACAUGACGAGCCCAGCUGCUGCCUCUGUUGCCAUGCUUUCUGACCAUGCUGGGGACUAUAAGCCCCAGUAAGCCCCUCCCCUUUUAAACUCCUUUUUUGUUGGGCGUUUGACCACAGCAAUGAUAAAAGAAGCCAAUAAGAGUGGUGUGGGUUUCCCUGAGCACCUCCCAAACCUUUUGAUUCCCAUCAGCUCUCCGUUUGGGGAUUUCCUGAUUCAGACAUGGCCUGCAUUUUUUUUUUCUUGGCCAGUGUUGCUUUGCAAACCUGAGGUGCAUUUCUUCCUUUGAGAGAGCCCCCCAUGAGGCAGAAGCAAAGGGCUGGGGCCCAUCUGUGUGCUCUGCCAGCUCCUGCUGCUCCAGCUCAGCAGAGUGUCCGUUACUGCUCCAGACGCAGUGCUUCUGCCUCUCGGGCCACCCUGGUUGUCCCCUUGCCUGGGCCUGGCACUGGCUCCAUGCCUGGCUCGUCAGCUCUACCAGCUGCCGUAUGAUUGAUGAUGCUUCAGAGCACAUGAGCCGUUUGGUCAUGUCCAGGACACUCUUGACUAAAUCAUGAAAUAAAACAUGCCUGAGGAUAUAAUGCAGCUCUUAGAGGGAAAAGUUAAAUACUUUAAGACAUUUACCUCAAAAGAACCCUGUUCAGACUAUGUCACGAUGCUUAUCAUAGUUAUCUAGGACAAUACACAAAGUGAAGAAAUAGGAAAAGUUAAAAAUUAUGGAAGUCUCUUUUCAGCACAAUGGUAACAAAUGCAGCUAAUCGUGCGUAAAUUUUACUCCCCCAACCCCAAAAAUGCCAGUUGUGUCAUUGGAACUUUGUUAUAUUAUCAAGAACUUGUGAAACUUAUCAAAUGCUGUGGCUGGGAAAAAAGACCUUCUUAUACAAUAAAUUAAAUGACAAUGAGGCACAUGAAGUGCCCCAGGGAAGAGUGGAAUAGUAGACUUUUAAGAAUAUGUAUUAUUGCCCGUGUAUACAUGUUAUAUUAUUAUGAAGGGAGUAGUUUAGUCACCCUCGUGGAUGGAGAUAGAAAAAAAAGGACAAAGCUUGGGAAAAUACAUAAGCUUAAUUUAGGAAAGCAUUGUCAUCAUGGUUUCCACAUGCGUUGGCUAGAACAUCCUAUUAGCAGCACCGAGCUCGAAAAGGUAACAUUUACUCAAAUUGGGCUCAGUCUGAGCUCCUGAAAAGCAAAUGGUAAAAUCGAAAAGUUAGGUAGAAAAAUAAAAGUGGGCAAAGGGCUUGCUGUAUAAGAUGGGGACUGGAUUCAGAUCCCUAGCAGCACGUAAAAGCUGGAUGAAUGUGUGCUUGUAACUCUAGCCCUUACCAUAUGUGUGGGGGGGCAGGUGGAUCUUAGGUAGUUCCUGGCCAGCCAGUCUAGCUGUUACAGUUUGUAUAUGCUGGGCCCAGGGAGUGGCACUAUUAGAAGGUGUGGCCCUGUUGGAGUAAGUGUGUCACUGUGGUGUGGGCUAUAAGACCCUCACUCUACCUGCUUGGAAGUCAGUAUUCUGCUAGCAGCCUUCAGAUGAAGAUGUAGAACUCUCAGCUCAGUCUGCACCAUGCCUGCUUCGAUGCUGCCAUGUUCCUGCCUUGAUGAUACUGGACUGAAUCUCUGAACCUGUAACCCAAAUCCAACUAAAUGCUGUUCCUUAUAAGAGUUGCCUUGGUCAUGGUGUCUGUUCACAGCAGUAAAACCCUAACUAAUUGGUAGCAAGGGCUGGGGAAUUGCUGUGAUAGGCCUGACCAUGCUUUUGUUUGGAAGGGUGGAUUUUUGGAGUAUGGAUUUGGAAAGCAAUGGGAUGCUUUAAAUGGGGCUUAGUGGGCUAUCCUAGUAGGAAUAUGGAAGACUUUGUUACUGAGAGUGAUUUGAAUUGUGUGGACCUGGUCCAAGAGGUUUCAGUGGAGAAUUUCAAUAUGUGGCCUAGAGACUGCUUUUGUGAUAUUUUGGUGAAGAACAUGGCUACUUUUUGCCUUUGUUGGAAGAGUCUGCUUGAGGCUAAGGUGAAGAACCUUACAUUAAUUGCAUUGACAAAGGAAGUCUUGGAGAUGCCCACCAUAGACUUUAUUCUCUGGUUAAGUCUCUUGAUGAGCAUUUUAAACAGGCCUAUUGGGGCCAGGGAGUAGAAUGUGAUGGUUUGCAUAUGCUGGGCCUGGGGACUGGGACUAUUGGAAGGUGUGGCCCUGUUGGAGUAGGUGUGGCCCUGUUGGAGUAAAACCCAAACUAAGACAGCAGCCAAAAUGGCAACUCCAGGUUCAGUGAGAGUGAGACUCUCUUGUGCAGUUUUUAUGCACUGUGUAUAGGUUGUCUUUGCAUAAUUAAAACAUUGAUUUCUGUACCAGCAGAGAGCUGAGUACUGUCCAGACUUUGGUACUGUUAUUUCUAUGGAUCAGCACCUGCCUUAGUAUUUUGUAAGCAUACACCCCUUUCACCCUCCGAUUGGUUUAAUAAAGAUCUGAUGGCCAAUAGCUUAGGCAAGAGAGGAAAGGCAGGACUUGCAGGCAGAGAUAGGCUCUGUGGAAUGAGUCAUGCAAGGGAAGAUUUGCCAGGAAGACUCAGAGGUAGAAGGAACGGGUGCCCAGACUGAGUAAGAGGUAACGAGCCAUGUGGCAGACACAGGGUAAAACAAAUGGGUCAAUUUGAGUUAGAGGAUCUAGUUGGGAGGUUCUUGGCUAUAGUGUCUAUGCUUUCAUAAGUAAUAUGUCUCCGUGUCGUUACUCCAGAGGUGGUGGGUCUGAGACAGUCCGGCUACCCUUUCUCAGGAAACAAGGUGGAGAGUGAUAAAGGGACUUAAUAUCAACCUGUAUCCACCACAAGUACUUGCAUGGGUGGCACACGGGCAAGCACAUGUUCUCACCACGCACAUACACAGAAUGGUUGUAUGUAAUGUACACGAUUGUAUUCAUUUGCUUUCUAGUCCUGUGAUAAAACACUGACUGAAAGCGAGUUGAGGAGGAAAACGUUUAUUUAUCUUACAGUCGACAAUCCAUCACGGAUGGAGGUCAGAGCAGGAGCUCAAGACAGGAACCUGUAGGCAGAUGCUUAGGCAGAGACCAUGGAGGAGUGCUUAUUGGCUUGCUCUUCCUGGCUUGCCCAGCCUUCUUUCUUAUACAAUCCAGGACUACCUGGCCAUGGUCUGCACUGACCUCAGUGGUCUGGGCUUUUCUCAUAAACCAUUAAUUGAUUACCUGCCUAUAGGCAAUCCGAGGAAGGCAUUUCGUUAAUUGAGGUGCUCUCCUCCUGGAUGACCCUAGUUUGCAUCAGUUUGAUAAACAAACAAAAAAGCAAAACGAAACAAAACAACCUAACCAGAGCAAUGGUAGUGAGACAGUCAGUUACUUUUGUGUAAUUGUCCUAUUUGAUCAUAGAAAAACACCCUGCACUCGCUUAGCACAGAGUACCUUCUGGUCUUUGCCCUCCCUGUACCAUAGUUCCUUGUGAAGUAAUCUGUUACUCAUCACCUCAGACUGAUUUGUGCGGUGGCCAUUCCCCAGAGAAAUGCAAUACGCAUGCCUUUAAUAAUGAAGCCAGCUUCCCUUUCUUAUAAAGAUCCCACUGGGACUGCUAUAGCUUGCUAACAGAAUGAAAGGCACAGACAAACUACUUCCUCUGUGCUUGAGUGUGUGCGUGCUUGCGUGCGUGCGUGCGUGCGUGCGUGGGUGUGUGUGUGUGUGAUAUUAUUUUUAUAACCACUCCUGGCAGAAGGGACCAUCACUUGCACUUUUGUGUGAAGACUUUCGGGAGCACCAAUGAUUUAUCCAAGCACAUCCAGUCACAGUUCCGGGACUCCAAUCUAGCAGUCUUGCGGUCCUCCCACCUACAGGUGACAGGCAGUGUGACCCGGAGUCAGUGCAUUAUGCUAGGUCCCAGGGUCCAAAAGUGUCUACACACAGUGCGGUACUCAGGGCCAGCCAAGGAAAUAGAGUCGAGGCAUCGAUUUGUCAAACGGCAGAUCUGGAAUUCAAACUCAGCCCGGAGCCUCUUCUCCUCCCGGACUAGCUCUUCUGUGAAGUUAGCGAGUUUGGAACCAUGAUGUACGGUGCUGUUUUAAUUCAUGUUCCCAGGUCCUGCCUCUAGAAAUGGCCACUUGGUUCGUUUAGGAUGGGGCAGGGGAACACGGCUUUUGCCCAGUUGUCUUUGAUGAUGAGGUCUCCCCGUAGUCUCCCCGUUCUGCCUGCAGCUCCGAAUGCGGUACAUGUUUGCCCGGCUCUGUGUUUUCAUCUGUGCCCUGAGGGGCUGGACUAGGAGAUAUGCAAGGUCACAUUCCGUGUCCUUGCACACACACAUCCUGUGACUGCAGGAUACAAGGUGUCUUGCUGAUGUCCCGCAUCCGGGGCAUCCAGACUGCCGCUAACCAGCGAGGGUCGCUCCUUGAAUGCCUGUUGCCCAGGAAUCCCCAUAGAGCGUGAGGCUCCACAGGGACCCUCUGACUCGAGGGUGAAGGAAAGCCCUGUUUGUUGGCUUGAAGUAGUUGGCAAACUGGCGUUUUAAAAAGGAAAUGGACUGCAGGGUAGAGGGUUUAAUUCAGGGAAAUAUUUGGAGGACUCAGUGUUUGCUCUGAGGGGGUCAUCACAUAGGUUUUGUUCCCACACUCCCUGGAAAGAUGAUGCUUCAUUAAAACGGCAACAUGAGGUGUAGUGAAAACGUCAGAAUCGGGGACUCUGAAAAGACACAUUCACUAGAUUCCACUUAAAAUGUAAAAAGGAGUGUAAAGAAAACAAAUGGACAUUUUCUUGAGGCAGCUGAGCGAUACAAAACACAGGCAUCUUUGUCUCCUCCUUGAAGACUUCCACAAUGCCUUCUCCUUUCUUCCUUUUGACUAAUCUGUACUUCUGAGAGGUGUUGAGUUUCGGCCAAACUUUCCGCUUGGUUCGCAUCAAAGGCUGCCCUCUUGUGAGUAGCAGGCUCUCACCUACCCCUCGCCUUACUCACUCCUGACCAGCGGACGCAGGUCACUCCCCAUAAUUAUUAGCUCACAGGCAGAGUUUGCAGGCGGCUCCAGGAGCAUCAAUCACAGGAAUGAAUGCAAGCUGGUGUGUGGGAACGGUCGGGGCAUCCAGGAGCUGAGCACUGUCGCCCCAGCCUUAGUCCCAAGCCACACUCCUUCGCUCCAUCCACCCUGCAGCCGGACAGAACAAAUCACAAGGCUCAUCAUGAAGCUUUGGAGAGAGAAGUUCUAACACUGAACGGCACAACACAGUUCUUACAUGGUGACCACAUAUCUAAACCUACAAGAACCAGGACGGAAAGAUGCAGUGCAAUAAAAUCACAGAUCUCUAGUCUCUUGAGACCUAA